AGACCCGAAACCCGGUGAUCUAGCCAUGGGCAGGUUGAAGGUUGGGUAACACUAACUGGAGGACCGAACCGACUAAUGUUGAAAAAUUAGCGGAUGACCUGUGGCUGGGGGUGAAAGGCCAAUCAAACCGGGAGAUAGCUGGUUCUCCCCGAAAGCUAUUUAGGUAGCGCCUCGUGAAUUCAUCUCCGGGGGUAGAGCACUGUUUCGGCUAGGGGGCCAUCCCGGCUUACCAACCCGAUGCAAACUGCGAAUACCGGAGAAUGUUAUCACGGGAGACACACGGCGGGUGCUAACGUCCGUCGUGAAGAGGGAAACAACCCAGACCGCCAGCUAAGGUCCCAAAGUCAUGGUUAAGUGGGAAACGAUGUGGGAAGGCCCAGACAGCCAGGAUGUUGGCUUAGAAGCAGCCAUCAUUUAAAGAAAGCGUAAUAGCUCACUGGUCGAGUCGGCCUGCGCGGAAGAUGUAACGGGGCUAAACCAUGCACCGAAGCUGCGGCAGCGAACGUAUCACCCAAGACAACUUUACGGAGUUGACGAUUGACGGAGCGAAGCGACGUCAAAGCGUUCAUUAAAGUCGAGUUGGCUUAGGGAUACGUUCGUUGGGUAGGGGAGCGUUCUGUAAGCCUGUGAAGGUGUGUCGUGAGGCAUGCUGGAGGUAUCAGAAGUGCGAAUGCUGACAUAAGUAACGAUAAAGCGGGUGAAAAGCCCGCUCGCCGGAAGACCAAGGGUUCCUGUCCAACGUUAAUCGGGGCAGGGUGAGUCGACCCCUAAGGCGAGGCCGAAAGGCGUAGUCGAUGGGAAACGGGUUAAUAUUCCCGUACUUGGUGUUACUGCGAAGGGGGGACGGAGAAGGCUAUGUUGGCCGGGCGACGGUUGUCCCGGUUUAAGCGUGUAGGUGUGUGUUCCAGGUAAAUCCGGUUCACUUUAACACUGAGGCGUGAUGACGAGGCACU
rnacentral:rRNA from 2 species